rnacentral:rRNA from 1 species
CCUACGGGAGGCAGCAGUGAGGAAUAUUGGUCAAUGGCCGGAAGGCUGAACCAGCCAUGCCGCGUGAAGGUCAGUGCCCUAUGGGCGUUAAACUUCUUUUGUCGGGGAACAAAGGCGUCCACGGGUGGGCGGAUGAGUGUACCCGAAGAAAAAGCAUCGGCUAACUCCGUGCCAGCAGCCGCGGUAAUACGGGGGAUGCGAGCGUUAUCCGGAUAUAUUGGGGUUAAAGGGUGCGUACGCGGACAGUCAAGUCAGCGGUAAAAAUGCGGUGCUAAACGCCGUACAGCCGUUGAAACUGGCAGUCUUGAGUGGGCGAGAAGUAUGCGGAAUGCGUGGUGUAGCGGUGAAAUGCAUAGAUAUCACGCAGAACUCCGAUUGCGAAGGCAGCAUACCGGCGCCCUACUGACGCUGAGGCACGAAAGCGUGGGUAUCGAACAGGAUUAGAUACCCGAGUAGUC